GGUCACGAGUACCAGCGUCAAGCCCCGGCUAGCUGGUCGGCAACCCUCCAACCGCGGUGGGGUGCUCCGGGUGACGACCAGGUCAUGGUCCACAAGGACAUGGCAAGCGCGGACU
rnacentral:ncRNA from 2 species